AAUGAAUAAAUAAAUAUUACAUAAAUUAUUUAAAUAUAAAAUUAAGAAAAUAUAUUAAAACAACGUAGUACAGCAAUGGAACAUAUUAAUUUUAAAAGUAGUAAAAAACGUACCUUUUGCAUUAUGGGUUUACAAGAAACAAAUUAAAUAUUAAAUUCCCGAAUUCUUUGUGAGCUGUAAUAUAACUGUUUGGAACUAAAAGAAUAAUGUUUCACUAUUAUCUCAAGAUUAUUUUACAGAGGCUACAUACCUACCGCACAAGAAUAUUGCUGGUUCUCUUUUAAAAUUAUAUAUUAAAACAACUAAUUUAGUGUGUAAGUUAAUAGAUGAUUAGGUCUAUUAAAAUAUCCUAUAUAAACUUUUACAUGAAUAAAAAAAUAGUAGGCUUAGAAAUAGCCAUCAAUAAGUAUGUUAUAAUUACAUAAAUUUCACAAAUAGAUAAAAUAUUAUGGAUAAAUUUAAAAGAGUAUUUAAUUAAAUUAUAAUAUUAAUUUAAUUCUGUAAACAUGAGUAUGAAUUUAACUAUAUUUAAGGAACUCGGCAAAUAUUUAUUUCAACUGUUUAACAAAAACAUUUCUUUUAGAAAAAAAAUUAAAAGUAGGCCCUGCCCAAUGAUGUAAAAUUAAAUGGCCGCGGUAUACUAACCGUGCAAAGGUAGCAUAAUAACUUGUUUAUUAAUUGUAAACUAGAAUGAAGGGGUUAAUGAAAUAAAUACUGUCUCAAAUAUACUAAUAAAAAUUAUCCUUUAGGUGAAGAGACCUAAAUAAAAAUGAAAGACAAGAAGACCCUAUAGAGCUUUACUUUUAAAAAGAAUUAUUCUUAAUAAAGUUUGGUUGGGGCGACCUAGGAAUAUAUAACAUCCUAUAAAUAAUUAGACUAAUUAGUCAAAGAUUUGAUCCUUAAAUGAUCACAAAAUUAAGUUACCUUAGGGAUAACAGGCUAAUACUUUUCAAGAGUCCUUAUCUAAAAAAGUGUUUGGCACCUCGAUGUUGGCUUAGGGAUACUUUAAGGCGCAGAAGUUUUAAAAGUAGGUUUGUUCAACCUUUAAAUCCCUACAUGAGUUGAGUUCAGACCGGCGUAAGCCAGGUUAGAUUCUAUCUUCAUUACUACCAUUUAUAGUACGAAAGGACCUAAAUGGCUUUAACAUUAAAGAUUUAAAUUAAAAUUUUUAAAAA
rnacentral:rRNA from 1 species